UCUUCCGUGGCGCAAUUGGCUAGCGCGUUCGACUGUUAAUUUGUCAGAUUGCAGUCCAUCGAGAGGUUCCUGGUUCAAGCCCAGGCGGAAGAG
rfam:Aureobasidium subglaciale EXF-2481 unplaced genomic scaffold scaffold_14, whole genome shotgun sequence.